ensembl:lncRNA
GUCAUUCCUUAGCAGGGGGAGGAUCAGGUCAUUCCUUAGCAGGGGGAGGAUCAGGUCAUUCCUUAGCAGGGGGAGGAUCAGGUCAUUCCUUAGCAGGGUGAGGAUCAGGUCAUUCCUUAGCAGGGGGAGGAUCAGGUCAUUCCUUAGCAGGGUGAGGCUAAGUGAGGAUAGCUCCUCAACUCUGACAUGGCCUUGGGGGAGGAUCAGGUCAUUCCUUAGCAGGGUGAGGCUAAGUGAGGAUAGCGCCUCAGACGUGUCUGAGAGAGAAUGGCAGAAUACACACAAGAGUGCAUUUUCCAUUUCCCUCUUUAUCUGUUAAGCAGUGAGUAAAUAAACGGUCACUGGUCAAUUACUUGAUUCUGAAAGUUCAUUUGAGUCUUGAACCUAUAAUUAUUUUAACUAGUGUUAUAUUAAAUUUCCUGUUUUAAAACUGACCUUUUCCCGCCCUUUGAACUUCCGCGGUUGUUGAUGCUACGGCCAGGUCCUCCACGUGUCCUGACCUUCAUCAGCGGCCAGGUUCUCCAUGAGUACUGGCCUUCGUCAGCGGCCAGGUUCUCCAUGAGUACUGGCCUUCAUCAGCGGCCAGGUUCUCCAUGUGUACUGGCCUUCAUCAGCGGCCAGGUUCUCCAUGAGUACUGGCCUUCGUCAGCGGCCAGGUUCUCCAUGUGUACUGGCCUUCAUCAGCGGCCAGGUUCUCCAUGUGUACUGGCCUUCGUCAGCUCCCAGGUCCUUGUCUUCGUCUCGAUGCCUUCAGGAACACUGAGGGCUCUGUGGACAUGAGGGGACCCAGCGAGUUCCCUAUGACGCUAGGCGGUGUUCAAAUAUCCCCCCAUGUCUCUUGUGCUAACAAAAAACAAUAAUAUCUGUGGUAUUUACCAUUCUAGCACUUAGUGCACUCACACAGACACACACAGACACACACUCACACAGACACAGACACACACUCACACAGACACACACUCACACAGACACACACUCACACAGACACACACUCACACAGACACACAC